rnacentral:rRNA from 1 species
CCCUUAGAUGUUCUGGGCCGCACGCGCGUUACACUGAUGCAUUCAACGAGCUUAUAACCUUGGCCGAGAGGCCUGGGCAAUCUUGUUAACGUGCAUCGUGAUAGGGAUAGAUUAUUGAAAUUAUUAAUCUUGAACGAGGAAUUCCUAGUAAACGCAGAUCAUCAAUCUGCAUUGAUUACGUCCCUGCCCUUUGUACACACCGCCCGUCGCACCUACCGAUUGGAUGGUCCGGUGAAGCCUCGGGAUUGUGGUUCUUGCCGCUUUAUUGUGGCGUGACCGCGAGAACUUGUCUAAACCUUAUCAUCUAGAGGAAGGAGAAGUCGUAACA